rnacentral:rRNA from 1 species
UACGAAGGGUGCAAACGUUGCUCGGAAUCAUUGGGCGUAAAGAGCUCGUAGGCGGUCUGUCGCGUCGGCUGUGAAAACUCGGGGCUCAACCCCGAGCCUGCAGUCGAUACGGGCAGACUAGAGUGCGGUAGGGGAGACUGGAAUUCCUGGUGUAGCGGUGAAAUGCGCAGAUAUCAGGAGGAACACCGGUGGCGAAGGCGGGUCUCUGGGCCGUAACUGACGCUGAGGAGCGAAAGCGUGGGGAGCAAACAGG